AAAGAGGGUUGUUUAGGAAUUUAAACAAAUUAACACUUUUAGAUAUUUCCGAAAACAGUAUAACUUCUGUAGCAACAGAAGCGUUUGAGCAACUCACCAACUUAAAAUAUCUUCAUCUUCGAGGAAACGGUAUAACGGCUAUAGAUGAGAGAACUUUCGAUAAACUUUCAAAUCUUAUUCAUCU